AUGUCGAUAAAUCCGGUAUGGUUUUUCUCUUCAUUUUUAGCUCGUCACUGGCAUGUGGAUAAAUCUGGUAUGGUGGUCUGUUUGUGGGGGCAAGCACUCAUAUGCGGCAGCGCCGGCGUCUCCGCCACACCGGCGCCGGCUCCGGCGCUGGCAGAGGAUAAGCUAUGUGUCGGCGUAAGCACCAAGAGCGCAGAGUCGGCCUGCGUCGCCAACGCCGCACUGACGUGA
rnacentral:rRNA from 1 species